rnacentral:tmRNA from 1 species
GGGGAUGAUCGGUUUCGACAGCGGAUGUCGAUGUAGGGGAAGCGAGCCGAGGAAGCGGCAAUGAUCUCGCUAACCACAUGUCGCAAAAAAAUAAUCGCCAACUCCAAGAGCGAUAACUCCCGCUUCGCCCUCGCUGCCUGAUAGCAGUGAGCUGAAGCCUCUGUGAGGAGCGUCAGCCCGGAAGUGGUCCCGGUCCGGAUCCUGGCGUCGACUAGGGAUCUAAACCUCUAGCCCCGGUCACGGGGGUUGGAGGGAAAUCAAACAGUGACUGAGCCCGUCGGAGACUUGUCCGCGUGAUCUCCGGGGCCGAGAAAAGCGCAGCGGACUGCGCUCGGAGAAGCCCUCCUUCUGCACCGUUGGACGCGGGUUCGAUUCCCGCCAUCUCCACUC